rnacentral:miRNA from 1 species
CUGGUAUCAGAUAGGUGUAAUUU